AGGUACAGAGGGAUGCUACCGGGCGACCGGAUGCGGAUCUCGAAAGCCUGUCCCAGUUCGGACUGGAGUCUGCAACCCGACUCCACGAAGCUGGAUUCGCUAGUAAUCGCGCAUCAGCCAUGGCGCGGUGAAUACGUUCCCGGGCCUUGUACACACCGCCCGUCAAGCCAUGGGAGCCGGGGGUGCCUGAAGUUCGUGACCGCAAGGAGCGACCUAGGGCAAAACUGGUGACUGGGGCUAAGUCGUAACAAGGUAAC
rnacentral:rRNA from 1 species